rnacentral:rRNA from 1 species
CUUCGGCCCCUUGCGUCAGCGGCGGACGGGUGAGUAACGCGUGGGAACGUGCCCCCGGGUGUGGAACAACCGCUGGAAACGGCGGCUAAUACCGCAUGAUGUCCUUAUGGACCAAAGGCCUACCUCUGGUAGGUCGCCCGGGGAUCGGCCCGCGUCGGAUUAGGUAGUUGGUGGGGUAACGGCCUACCAAGCCGACGAUCCGUAGCUGGUUUGAGAGGAUGAUCAGCCACACUGGGACUGAGACACGGCCCAGACUCCUACGGGAGGCAGCAGUGGGGAAUCUUGGACAAUGGGCGCAAGCCUGAUCCAGCCAUGCCGCGUGAGCGAUGAAGGCCCUAGGGUUGUAAAGCUCUUUCGCCGGUGAAGAUAAUGACGGUAGCCGGAGAAGAAGCCCCGGCUAACUCCGUGCCAGCAGCCGCGGUAAUACGGAGGGGGCUAGCGUUGUUCGGAAUUACUGGGCGUAAAGGGCGCGUAGGCGGGUUCUUAAGUCG